rnacentral:rRNA from 1 species
AUUGAACGCUGGCGGAAUGCUUUACACAUGCAAGUCGAACGGUAGAGGGGGCAACCCCUCGAGAGUGGCGAACGGGUGAGUAAUAUAUCGGAACGUGCCCAGUCGUGGGGGAUAACGUAGCGAAAGUUACGCUAAUACCGCAUACGAUCUAAGGAUGAAAGCGGGGGAUCGCAAGACCUCGCGCGAUUGGCGAGGCCGAUAUCAGAUUAGGUAGUUGGUGGGGUAAAGGCUCACCAAGCCAACGAUCUGUAGCUGGUCUGAGAGGACGACCAGCCACACUGGAACUGAGACACGGUCCAGACUCCUACGGGAGGCAGCAGUGGGGAAUUUUGGACGAUGGACGCAAGUCUGAUCCAGCCAUUCCGCGUGCAGGAUGAAGGCCCUCGGGUUGUAAACUGCUUUUGUACGGAACGAAAAGGUCUCUCUUAAUACGGGGGGCUCAUGACGGUACCGUAAGAAUAAGCACCGGCUAACUACGUGCCAGCAGCCGCCGUAA